UGGUUUCCUUAUAAAUGCAGUUGCAUGUUUUGGCAUUGAUACUUCUAUCUCCUUCGUUUUCUCCUGAUCUGUUGAUUCAGCUAUCAAUGUUUAAGAAGAAUUAUGACCAUCUUCCAAAAGAUAUAUACUUUGGCAAUUACAAAGAUUCUGUACGUGGGAUUCCAAACUACUUUCUGACUUACGAAAAUGGUAAAUCAGCUGCCUGUAUACAAGAUCAUCUUCGUCCAAAUGGUGCACACAGAUGGGAUAAUUACAUGAAAUCCCCAAAUGAGAUCAAGUUGGAGGAGGCAGCUGUUUUGCAUUACACAUUCUAAAUUCUCAUACCUCACUUUCAGACGUGAUCGCUGUGGUUGCCCUACCAAAGAAGAUGUAAAAAGAUGCUUCAUGUUGGAAUUUGACAGAUCUAAAGUGCAAUUACUCUCUGCUGCUACAAGGACAAUAACACAGCCAUGGCUGCUUCAGUUUCAACCAUAGGAACUGUCAAAGGAACUCCAGUGAGUUUGAAUGGUUCUAGAGCUGUGGCUUCAUCAGUUCCCAAUUCAUCAGCUUUCUUCGGAAGCAGCUUGAAGAAGGUUACAUCAAGAAUCCACAGCAGUAGCAAGGUUUCCUCCGGAAGCUUCAACAUUGUAGCGAUCGAUGAGGACAAGCAGAUAGAUAAGGACAGAUGGAAAGGGUUGGCCUAUGAUAUCUCAGGUGACCAGCAAGACAUCACAAGAGGGAAGGGUAUUUUAUAGUUUUUAGAGGAUGUAGAUAAUGUAAUAGUUGUUGGAAUUGUAAUGCAUGUAAUACAAAUUCAUGGGUAGUUGUUAUCACUUUGAUUUUUUAUUAGAGCUUGUCAUGUGAUCAACCACUAUAUUUGGUGUACAAGUUUAUGAAGGUUUUAUAUUGUUAAUAGUAAUUAAAAUUGUUAUGGAGGUUUUA